AUUGGGUAGGGGAGCGUUCUGUAAGCGGUUGAAGGUGUGUGGUAACGCAUGCUGGACGUAUCAGAAGUGCGAAUGCUGACAUGAGUAACGAUAAAGGGGGUGAAAAACCUCCUCGCCGGAAGACCAAGGGUUCCUGUCCAACGUUAAUCGGGGCAGGGUAAGUCGACCCCUAAGGCGAGGCCGAAAGGCGUAGUCGAUGGGAAACGGGUUAAUAUUCCCGUACUUCUUACAAUUGCGAUGGGGGGACGGAGAAGGCUAGGUGGGCCUGGCGACGGUUGUCCAGGUUCAAGUGCGUAGGCUUAAGAGUUAGGUAAAUCCGGCUCUUUCUAAGGCUGAGACACGACGUCGAGCACCUACGGGUGUGAAGUCAUUGAUGCCAUGCUUCCAGGAAAAGCCUCUAAGCUUCAGAUUGUAAGGAAUCGUACCCCAAACCGACACAGGUGGUCGGGUAGAGAAUACCAAGGCGCUUGAGAGAACUCGGGUGAAGGAACUAGGCAAAAUGGUACCGUAACUUCGGGAGAAGGUACGCUCUCGACGGUGAAGUCCCUCGCGGAUGGAGCUAUUGAGAGUCGCAGAUACCAGGUGGCUGCAACUGUUUAUUAAAAACACAGCACUGUGCAAAAUCGUAAGAUGACGUAUACGGUGUGACGCCUGCCCGGUGCCGGAAGGUUAAUUGAUGGGGUUAGACUUCGGUCGAAGCUCUUGAUCGAAGCCCCGGUAAACGGCGGCCGUAACUAUAACGGUCCUAAGGUAGCGAAAUUCCUUGUCGGGUAAGUUCCGACCUGCACGAAUGGCGUAAUGAUGGCCACGCUGUCUCCACCCGAGACUCAGUGAAAUUGAAAUCGCUGUGAAGAUGCAGUGUACCCGCGGCUAGACGGAAAGACCCCGUGAACCUUUACUACAGCUUGGCACUGAACAUUGACCCUACAUGUGUAGGAUAGGUGGGAGGCUUUGAAGCAGGUACGCCAGUAUCUGUGGAGCCGUCCUUGAAAUACCACCCUUGUAGUGUUGAUGUUCUAACGUCGACCCCUUAUCGGGGUUGCGGACAGUGCCUGGUGGGUAGUUUGACUGGGGCGGUCUCCUCCCAAAGAGUAACGGAGGAGCACGAAGGUGGGCUAAUCACGGUUGGACAUCGUGAGGUUAGUGCAAUGGCAUAAGCCCGCUUGACUGCGAGAAUGACAAUUCGAGCAGGUGCGAAAGCAGGUCAUAGUGAUCCGGUGGUUCUGAAUGGAAGGGCCAUCGCUCAACGGAUAAAAGGUACUCCGGGGAUAACAGGCUGAUACCGCCCAAGAGUUCAUAUCGACGGCGGUGUUUGGCACCUCGAUGUCGGCUCAUCACAUCCUGGGGCUGAAGUCGGUCCCAAGGGUAUGGCUGUUCGCCAUUUAAAGUGGUACGCGAGCUGGGUUUAGAACGUCGUGAGACAGUUCGGUCCCUAUCUGCCGUGGGCGUUGGAAGAUUGAAGGGGGCUGCUCCUAGUACGAGAGGACCGGAGUGGACGAACCUCUGGUGUUCGGGUUGUGUCGCCAGACGCAUUGCCCGGUAGCUAAGUUCGGAAUCGAUAACCGCUGAAAGCAUCUAAGCGGGAAGCGAGCCCUGAGAUGAGUCUUCCCUGAUACUUUAAGUAUCCUAAAGGGUUGUCGGAGACUACGACGUUGAUAGGUCAGGUGUGUAAGUGCUGUGAGGCAUUGAGCUAACUGAUACUAAUUGCCCGUGAGGCUUAACCAUACAACACCCAAGGGGUUU
rnacentral:rRNA from 1 species